rnacentral:lncRNA from 1 species
GACAACUUUAAAUCAGAAAUCAUUCUUCUUAUUUCGACAUUAUGAUAAAAGUUCAAUUUGAUCCUUAUUGACAAUUGUCAGUUUUCAGCCGAAGACCGUUUUUCUCUUCGAAUACUUCGGCUUCUUUCGCCGAUUCAAACUAACUGUUAUGAUAAAACCAAGGUGGCUUUUAAUACCCUCAUGAGCAAAACAAACAAAUUGAGAUGCACAUUUAUUGAUUUCAACAAAAGUUAUUCUCCGAUACAAGAAUUA